rnacentral:rRNA from 1 species
CCUAGUAACGGCGAGUGAAGCGGCAACAGCUCAAAUUUGAAAUCUGGCGUCUUCGGCGUCCGAGUUGUAAUUUGCAGAGGGCGCUUUGGCAUUGGCAGCGGUCCAAGUUCCUUGGAACAGGACGUCACAGAGGGUGAGAAUCCCGUACGUGGUCGCUAGCCUUUACCGUGUAAAGCCCCUUCGACGAGUCGAGUUGUUUGGGAAUGCAGCUCUAAAUGGGAGGUAAAUUUCUUCUAAAGCUAAAUACUGGCCAGAGACCGAUAGCGCACAAGUAGAGUGAUCGAAAGAUGAAAAGCACUUUGGAAAGAGAGUUAAAAAGCACGUGAAAUUGUUGAAAGGGAAGCGCUUGCAGCCAGACUUGCCUGUAGUUGCUCAUCCGGGUUUCUACCCGGUGCACUCUUCUACGGGCAGGCCAGCAUCAGUUUGGGCGGUUGGAUAAAGGUCUCUGUCAUGUACCUCUCUUCGGGGAGAACUUAUAGGGGAGACGACAUGCAACCAGCCUGGACUGAGGUCCGCGCAUCUGCUAGGAUGCUGGCGUAAUGGCUGUAAGCGGCCCGUCUUGAAACACGGACCAAGGAGUCUAACAUCUAUGCGAGUGUUUGGGUGUCAAGCCCGAGCGCGUAAUGAAAGUGAACGGAGGUGGGAACCCUUCGGGGUGCACCAUCGACCGAUCCUGAUGUCUUCGGAUGGAUUUGAGUAAGAGCAUAGCUGUUGGGACCCGAAAGAUGGUGAACUAUGCUUGAAUAGGGUGAAGCCAGAGGAAACUCUGGUGGAGGCUCGCAGCGGUUCUGACGUGCAAAUCGAUCGUCAAAUUUGGGCAUAGGGGCGAAAGACUAAUCGAACUAUCUAGUAGCUGGUUCCUGCCGAAGUUUCCCUCAGGAUAGCAGUAACGUUUUCAGUUUUAUGAGGUAAAGCGAAUGAUUAGAGGCCUGGGGGUUGAAACAACCUU